GUGAGCACUAGAAGGGAUUUGGAGACCUCCAGCCCGGCCUCCUCUUGCUCUAUAGAUGGGAGGCCGGGGCCUGGAGAGGCUCACUCAGGGUUUCACAGUCAAGAACCAGAACCCCAACCUGUGCGGGCUUGCUUCCUCCCUCUUUUUCUCUCACCCUGCAGCCAGAAACAGCUCCUCCACUUCCCAGUCACCAUCUGAGAAAGAACCAGCCACAGGGCUGUACUCUAAUUGGGGAUGGAGGAUAGGACGUGGUUUGUCUCAGUUUCCAGAGUGGCUCAUGAGCUAUAAACCCCAAGCAAUGGGUUCAUGCCUCAGCUUACUCUGUGGCUUAUAAUUACCUAUGAGUCUGCCUUCCUUGCCAAACUGAGUUCCUUCAGGGCACAGACCAUGCCUUACUCAUCUUUGGGACCACAGUGCUGGCCUAAAGCCUUCCCAGAGCCUCUGUCCCUUCAUGGCUGCAAAGACUCUAAACCAGCAUGUCCCGAGCUCCUCAUCCUCCUCCCAGUCAGGCCCCUGACACAGGGAGUCCACUUACUCCUCUCGACAACCUGGUGAAGGAGACGGUGUUGGCCCGAUCCUACAGAUCAAGCCUCCGUGACUCAGUGCUCAGCUCACCCAUUAAGUGCCAGAGCCAGUGUGGCCUCCGGAGACCUUCGUGGUGCUCCAGAGCAGCUAAACCACAGCAUCUGGCUUGUUGCUGGGACUCUGGUGCUUUGGGCCACUCUUCCCCCCAUCCCCCCACCAC
ensembl:lncRNA